UCCUAUGGAUAAGUAAAGAAAGUGGUUUCUUGAGACAGGAUCUACUGCUGGUGAAGAUGCUGUGAA
rnacentral:pre_miRNA from 2 species